ACAGAGGGGGCAAGCGUUAUUCGGAAUUAUUGGGCGUAAGGGGCGCGUAGGCGGCCUGGCAAGUGGAAGGUGAAAUCCCUCGGCUUAACCGAGGAACUGCCCUCCAAACUGCUUGGCUUGAGACCGGGAGAGGUGAGUGGAAUUCCCAGUGUAGCGGUGAAAUGCGUAGAUAUCGGGAGGAACACCAGUGGCGAAGGCGGCUAUCUGGACCACAACUGACGCUGAGGCGCGAAAGCUAGGGGAGCAAACAGGA
rnacentral:rRNA from 1 species